rnacentral:rRNA from 1 species
AACGCCGAAUCCCCUUGAGUUUGAUCAUGGCUCGAACGAACGCUGGCGGCGUGGAUAAGACAUGCAAGUCGAACGCUGAUUGCAGGGUAGCAAUAUUCUGCGGUCGGAGUGGCGCAAGGGUGCGUAACACGUGGGUAAUCUGCCGUGAAGUUGGGGAUAACUCGCUGAAAGGCGAGCUAAUACCGAAUGUGGAUCUGGGAAGGCAUCUUUCGAGGUCUAAGGUUGGGGACCGCAAGGCCUGACGCUUCACGAUGAGCCCGCGGCCUAUCAGCUAGUUGGUGAGGUAACGGCUCACCAAGGCUUAGACGGGUAGCUGGUCUGAGAGGACGACCAGCCACACUGGAACUGAGACACGGUCCAGACACCUACGGGUGGCAGCAGUCGAGAAUUUUUCACAAUGGGCGCAAGCCUGAUGGAGCGACGCCGCGUGGGGGAUGAAUGGCUUCGGCCCGUAAACCCCUGUCAUUUGCGAACAAACCUUGCUAUUUAAAAGAUGGCGAGCUGAUUGUAGCGAAAGAGGAAGGGACGGCUAACUCUGUGCCAGCAGCCGCGGUAAUACAGAGGUCCCAAGCGUUGUUCGGAUUCACUGGGCGUAAAGGGUGCGUAGGUGGUCGGGUAAGUCUGAUGUGAAAUCUCCGAGCUCAACUCGGAAAUGGCAUUGGAUACUAUUCGGCUAGAGGGUUGGAGGGGAGACUGGAAUUCUCGGUGUAGCAGUGAAAUGCGUAGAUAUCGAGAGGAACACCAGUGGCGAAGGCGAGUCUCU